GCAACCAUCUCAAAAAAAGUGCAGGUAUGCUUAUCCUUAAUCACAUGAGUUGUCAACUAUAUAAUCACCAAUAACAGGCACCAAAGGAAUGGAACUUCAAUUAGAAAGUGUAGUUGUCACUAAGCCAAUUAAACUUUCUCAGAAGUAAAAGACGAACCCUCGCAAGGAAAUAGAUAAAUUGCAAUUUUAACAAUAUAUCCAUCAUUGCUUCAAUAUAUCAAUCAUUGCUUCAAAAAAAAAAUAUAUCCAUCAUGUUACAUUAUGCAGACACGGGAGUUGGCCUAACA
rnacentral:lncRNA from 1 species